AAAAAAAAAAGAAAAAAGACACUCCCAUCAGCAGAAUAUGAGUGUGUAUGUUUCCCAGACUCAUGCCAUUCUUUUGCAUUUUUGCUUACUUGACAGAGAAAAUGACAGUCUUCCAAUUUUCAUUUAUUUAAUUGUGAAUUAAUAUUGAGCAAAAUUUUGUAUGUUUACAAGCCAUUUGUACUUAUGAAAUGCCUAUUCAUAGUCUUUGUCCAUUUUUCUUUGGAAUAUUUCCUUUCAACAUUAAGAAUAAUAUCCUCUAUUGUCUGUCAUAUGUUGCAAAUAAUCUCUCCUUGUCAUUUGCGUUUUCUUGCCUUUGAGAAAUAUUUAAUUUUUAUGAAGUUGCAUUUAUCAAUUUUUUCCCCUGUGGCUUCUGCUUUUAGUAUUAUGUCUGGCAAUAUUCUCCUAUCCCAAAAUUAUGUCAAUAUAUACUUAUGUUUUCUUUCAGUAUGUUUAUGAUGUUGCUUUUUAAAACACUUAAUUCUUUAGCCCGGUGGAAUUUGUUUUGAUUGUGGUAGGAAUUGAACCUUUCCCUCAAAUUGUUAAGCAGUCCCAAUCACUGAUUUUAGAAACGUUUUCCCUAAAUGUUUAACAUUUCUCCAGUUAAACAUUAGAUUGACUUUGGUCUGUUUCUAUAUUGUUCUCCUCCAUUGGUUCGUGAGUGGCUUCUGCUGCUGGCUCCAUACUGCUCCCAUGACUGUCUUGGAGGCACAUUUUAGGUUCUGGUAAGGCAAGUAUCUCCCCAUUACUUCACAAGUUUUCUGACUAUUUUCACUUCUUUAUUCUUCCAGAUGAAAUUUAGAAUCAAGUUCAAAACAAAAACUCGUUGGAAUUUUGAUUGUGAUUUUGCUUAAAAUUAGAGAUUACUUUGGGGAGAAUAGUGGUCUUUGCGAUUUUGAAUCUUCCUACGCAAGAACAUGAAAAACAGGAUGAAGUUGUCUAUUACGAUCCAUGUGAAAGUCCAGAGGAACUUAGUCAUUGACUGUGGUGGGGCUGCAGGACGAUAAGAAUUCGGAAGUGAAAGAACUCAGAAGGCAGUGCCAGCAGCUGGAGUCUAUUAAACGGGGCAGGAUCUCUGUCAAAAGAGCUUCUCUCCAGAGUAGAAAGGAUCAGUGCAAAGAAAAUCAUCGGCUCAGAUUGCAACAGGCUGAAGAAAGCAUAAGAUACUCUCGUCAGCAUCACAGUAUUCAGAUGAAAAGAGACAAGAUAAAAAGGAGCAAAAGAAAAAAGAAUGGAUCAACCAAGAACGUCAAACACUCCAACGAUUGAGAGCAUUUAAAGAUGUAAGUUCUAUAAACAAUCACCUCAUCUACACCUCUGGGGAAAUAAAUGAAGACCGCUCUAAAGAGGAAAGUAUAAAGUAUUAAGAACAGGUCAUUCAGAACAUGAAACAUUUAAAAAAUAACAUUAUUUCUGGUAUAUCAAUAAAAAGCAACAGCAAAAAUAGACUAUCAGUGAUUCAAAACCCAUGAUAUAAAAUAACUGCUGUUUUUGACAUCACAACACGCUUGGGUUCCUGCUCUGCACUCCUCACUGAGUAGUCCUAACUGGCACUGGUGGUUUAGAUUGGCAGGGAAAACUGAAAACUGUUCAACUCCCUUGACUUUAGCUGGCAUUUCCUCUCAUUUGUAAUAAACAAUUCUUUAAAAUGUUA